GACUCUGUGGCGCAACGGUAGCGCGUCUGACUCCAGAUCAGAAGGCUGCGUGUUCAAAUCACGUCAGUUUCA
rnacentral:tRNA from 1 species